rnacentral:misc_RNA from 1 species
AAGCAGGGCAUUGAGGCUGAAGA